AUACAUCUAACAUCUGUAAGCGAGGGAUUUUUGUUUCCUGGUAAACCAAGGGGAUUCAGAUACUGAAGUUCCCUGUUUCUCUGGUGAAGCAUGAUUAUGAAGAAUUGAAAACGCGGUUGAAGAAUUUACCUUAGAUUCCUUCCUUGACAACUCAGUAGGAAGGAAAAUAAGAAGAAGUUGUAAAGGGGAGUGAGUAGUGAGAAACAAAUUAUCAAUUUCAUUAUGUUGUCACUAAUUUGAUUCAUCGAUUGUUGGUUCAUCUCUUCAUCAAAACCCCAAAGAUCACUGGAAGUGAAGACGAAGACGCAGUCUUAUAUGUAUAUGAGAUUAUAGGGAGAUCCAGGAAGAUGACAGGAUUUUGUGUUGGUGGAGGUGGAGAUAUUGGGAAGGCCCAUGCAGCCAUGGCCUUGGUGCAGUUGUUUAAUGGGGGAUAUCAUGUCAUCACAAAGGUCGCUUUGAACGUGGGGAUGAAUCAGAUCGUUUACUGCGUCUGCCGUGAUGUACUCGCCCUCUCCAUCCUCGCCCCUGUCGCAUACCUCCGUGAAAAAAGGAUUCGACUGCCAUUAACUGGACGCCUUCUUAUGUCAUUCUUUUUUCUUGGUUUGACUGGGGUCUUCUGCAACCAGCUUUUAUUUAUUAUUGGUCUUAGCUACACAAAUCCCACUUAUGCUGCAGCUAUUCAGCCUUCAAUACCAGUCUUUACUUUCAUCUUGGCUGCAUUAAUGGGAACAGAAACAGUGAAUUUGCUGAGAAUUGAAGGACAGGUGAAGGUUGCUGGCACCCUUGUCUGUGUUUCAGGUGCAGUGCUGAUGGUUCUAUUUAGGGGUCCUGCUGUGUUUGGAGAUGGAGUGGUGGAUAUUUCAGGACUAAGCGAGAUAAGUGCAAAAGCUCAACCAGAGCCUGCUGGAUGGUUAAUAUAUAGUUUGCUGGAGUUUGGGAUAGAUCGGUGGCAUGUUGGUGUGUUAUGCUUAGUAGGGAACUGUAUGUGCAUGGCCACUUAUCUAGCCAUACAGGCUAAAGUUUUGGUGAAGUAUCCAGCCAGUCUAUCAGUGACAGCACUCUCAUAUGCGUUUGGUACUCUUUUUAUGCUAAUGACGGGAUUCUUGUCAAACAAUGAAUCUACAGACUGGAGCUUGACAAAAUCUGAACUAGUUGCAGUUUUGUAUGCUGGUGUUAUUGCAUCUGCUGUUAACUAUGGCCUCUUGACUUGGUCCAACAAGAUAUUGGGGCCUGCAAUGGUGGCUCUGUAUAAUCCUCUUCAACCUGCUGCAUCUGCUUUCCUGUCAAGAGUUUUCCUUGGAAGUCCUAUUUAUCUGGGAAGCAUCUUAGGGGGUUUUCUCAUCAUUGCUGGUCUUUAUAUGGUCACUUGGGCAUCCUACAGAGAGAGACAAGCUACUAAUGGAAUCAUCCCUCAAGUAAGUUGGGCCUCCGAACCCCUUGUUCACAAAGAACCCCCGCAUAACAAGGCUUCCUACCACAAGGUCCUGGAUUGAGGAAACACUGAUGCAUAUUUUCAGCCAGGAAAUGGUUAUUUGAAUAAUAUUGUAGUUAGGACACUUGAUUUAUAUAUAAAUUACAUUGUCUGUAAUAACUUUCCUUUAAGAGUAUUUGAUUCUUACCAUUUUGUAGCAGUAUGUUUUAUCUUGGUUAUAUCUGAAUUCUGAUGCCAUUCCAUCUCCAUUUCACACUCCUUUCUCCUGUCCUUUCUCAGUAUUAUCCAUUGUCUAUUCUUCAUGAAAAUCCAUAGAUUGAUGGCUUCGUCAAAGUCAUUUGAACAUCCAGGGCAUAGUCAGGCCAGUUCAUCCAUGGUCAAUUUAUUAAGGUUUUCGAGCUCAGGGGGAGAAAGGGAAAGUUUGCAGGUGAAAAAAGGUGAUAUAUGGUCUCAAGCAGUCUCCCCGGGUUUGGUCCGAGAUAUGAAGUUUGGUUAUGACGAAGAUAGAUGGGUUUCCAGAGAAGCAAUGCUGAUCAUUCCGUGUUCAUAAAAAGGAGAAAAGAGGUUACCAGAUGCUUCCAAGAAGAUAGUCAUUCGAUUCUUUUAGUAGCUGUAGUUUGAUGGACAUUGUUGAUUUGACUUUCCACGUACGAUGGGGCAUAUGCCAUCCUCGAUCUUGAUAAGGUUCUUUUGUGAGGUAACCUUGCUUUGAUACCGGUUGUAAGAAUGAAUGGGAACACCCAAGUGGGGGUGAAUUUGAGUGAAACUUUUCUUA